GGAUAAUCCUGGGAAACCAGGGAAAGGAUUAUGACAACUGGUGCCAUAAUCCCCUAAACGAACGUAUUAAAAACGUAGACGAAAGGCAUAAUCACCAGUUCCUCUGGCCGGUGUCAUGACCGGUCAGUAUCAUGAAUCAGGGACUAGGAAGCGAGAUACGAUUAGAAACCGUAUACGAGCUAACGUUAGGCAUCUGGGAACGUUUCGAUCCCUUGUGCCAAACGCAGUAACCCAGAGGGUUUUAGCUGCAACUGCAAAUGACCAGAACGCUAUCAUAUUUCUCGGCGAGCCGACCUCGCCAAAAGGCCCGGAUGCAUAAACAACAUCUAGGCGCGCAAAGGAAAUAUAACAGCGGGGAGAGAGCGAACCAGGCAAAGUUCGUAAAACCUCCUCAAACCGGGCGGAGUGAAAAACACUUCACCCUACUGUAAAGCGAUCGCAGCUUGAGAGUUAAGAGGCCAGACCCGCAACGCAGGGCAAACGAUCGGCUAACAACCGGUGCCGUCCUUGUGUAAAAGGUAUAGACGCAAAAAACGCAUUACAGGCGUGUCUACACCUCGUUUAGCGUGCAAUUCUCGGCAGAGAAUUACCGAACUAAGCGAAAAGACCUCACUCAAUAAACUCCAAUCAGUAAUGAUAGGAGCGAUCCCGCUAUGAGAUCGAUAACUUCGCAUGCCGCGGAGAGUGGCGUCGGGGAACAUACGGCCCGCGAAAGCGAGAGCGCCCAAUGUAUGUACAGGGAAAGAUUGCGUGGCGAGCAAC
rnacentral:ncRNA from 1 species